GAUUAACGCUGGCGGCAUGCCUAAUACAUGCAAGUCGAACGGAAGCAGCAAUGCUUUAGUGGCGAACGGGUGAGUAACACGUAGGGAACCUACCUAUACGACGAGGAUAACUACUGGAAACGGUAGCUAAAACUGGAUAGGAUCAAUUGAGGCAUCUUGAUUGAUUUAAAGAUCCUUCGGGAUUACGUAGAGAUGGCCCUGCGGCGCAUUAGCUAGUUGGUGAGGUAACGGCCCACCAAGGCGACGAUGCGUAGCCGACCUUAGAGGUGAUCGGCCACACUGGAACUGAGAGACGGUCCAGGACUCCUACGGGAGGCAGCAGUGGGGAAUAUUGGGCAAUGGAGGAAACUCUGACCCAGCAACGCCGCGUGAAUGAAGAAGGUCUUCGGAUUGUAAAGUUCUGUGACCCGGGACGAAAAAAUAGACGGUACCGGGA
rnacentral:rRNA from 1 species